GCGUGGUGUGGUUCAGACACCAUUGCCUGCUGUGCUGUUCCAGUUCAAAUCCUAGGCAUGCUGGAGACAAUUACAGAGGUGAGAGACCCGUUUCCGUGUACCACAAUGGAGGAAGUGGAACUUUUUGAGCAACGGCUCAAAGAUCCCGUCAACAUUCUAAUGAGUGGUGAGUUUUUUUGUUUUAAGAAUCUCACGCAAAGCUGAUUAAAAUCUAUUGUAUGUAAUUAACACUAGACAAUACCAUGUUUGAUGGAAAUGUUUUUUCAAACAUUCUGUAAAGUAUCAAAUAUUAAUCGUACUUUUUCGAUCCAUUUUCGAUUUCCUCCCUGGCAACGAUCGGACGACAUGAUGCCAAACGUGGAACAUCCCCGAAUGAAUGGAAAAAAAUUAUUCAGUCAAAUGACAUCUAAGACUUUGCUCCUGCAUGCCGUCAGAAAGAAUCAUGCCACACAUGCAUCCACUGAUGAACAGAUUCUAAAGCAUGCCAUUAGGUGGUUCAACCUGGCAGCAAACCGGGGUAGCUCCAGGAGGCGUGCUACUGUCGACAUCCCCCACACUGAACAGAAUUAAAAAUAUAUAUUUAUAUUUUAAUAUAAUAUAUAUUUAUAUAUAUAUAUACACAUACACCAGUUCUCAGUUGGAAGUUCCACCAUUCACUUGAGGCCACUGCGACCUAUUCUCUGGGAGAAUUGUGGUAUUUGGGUUAGGUGGUCGGUAUUUAUGGUUGUAUUAGUUGUAGCUCUUGUGUUCUAAUGUGAGCUAUAGUUUUUACUCUAUGUAUGUGUGUAUAUAUUGUCUCGAACUAAUUAUAAAUAAAUAUGAUUCAUACAUGUACAAGAAAUUAUUUGAUGUCCUUUUAAUAAAC